rnacentral:rRNA from 1 species
GAUGAACGCUGGCGGCGUGCCUAAUACAUGCAAGUCGAGCGAACAGAUGAGGAGCUUGCUCCUCUGACGUUAGCGGCGGACGGGUGAGUAACACGUGGAUAACCUACCUAUAAGACUGGGAUAACUUCGGGAAACCGGAGCUAAUACCGGAUAAUAUAUUGAACCGCAUGGUUCAAUAGUGAAAGACGGUUUUGCUGUCACUUAUAGAUGGAUCCGCGCCGCAUUAGCUAGUUGGUAAGGUAACGGCUUACCAAGGCAACGAUGCGUAGCCGACCUGAGAGGGUGAUCGGCCACACUGGAACUGAGACACGGUCCAGACUCCUACGGGAGGCAGCAGUAGGGAAUCUUCCGCAAUGGGCGAAAGCCUGACGGAGCAACGCCGCGUGAGUGAUGAAGGUCUUCGGAUCGUAAAACUCUGUUAUUAGGGAAGAGCAAAUGUGCAAGUAACUAUGCACGUCUUGACGGUACCUAAUCAGAAAGCCACGGCUAACUACGUG